rnacentral:rRNA from 1 species
GGGGUCCGAGUUGUAAUUUGUAGAGGAUGCUUCGGGUGCGGCCCCCGUCUAAGUGCUCUGGAACGGGCCAUCGGAGAGGGUGAAAAUCCCGUCUGGGAUGGGGUGUCCGCGUCCAUGUGAAGCUCCUUCGACGAGUCGAGUUGUUUGGGAAUGCAGCUCUAAAUGGGUGGUAAAUUUCAUCUAAAGCUAAAUACUGGCCGGAGACCGAUAGCGCACAAGUAGAGUGAUCGAAAGAUGAAAAGCACUUUGAAAAGAGAGUUAAACAGCACGUGAAAUUGUUGAAAGGGAAGCGCUUGCGACCAGACUCGCUUCCGGGGUUCAGCCGGCUUUCGGGCCGGUGUACUUCCCCGGGGGCGGGCCAGCGUCGGUUUGGGCGGCCGGUCAAAGGCCCCUGGAAUGUAACGCCCCUCGGGGCGCCUUAUAGCCAGGGGUGUCAUGCGGCCAGCCUGGACCGAGGAACGCGCUUCGGCACGGACGCUGGCAUAAUGGUCGUAAACGACCCGUCUUGAAACACGGACCAAGGAGUCUAACAUCUACGCGAGUGUUCGGGUGUCAAACCCGUGCGCGCAGUGAAAGCGAACGGAGGUGGGAGCCCCCUCGAGGGGCGCACCAUCGACCGAUCCUGAUGUCUUCGGAUGGAUUUGAGUAAGAGCGUAGCUGUGGGGACCCGAAAGAUGGUGAACUAUGCCUGAAUAGGGCGAAGCCAGAGGAAACUCUGGUGGAGGCUCGCAGCGGUUCUGACGUGCAAAUCGAUCGUCAAAUUUGGGUAUAGGGGCGAAAGACUAAUCGAACCAUC